rnacentral:tRNA from 1 species
UCCCUGGCAGUCCAGUGGUUAGGACUCGGCACUUUCACUGCUGAGGCCCCGGGUUCAAUCCAGGGUCGGGGAA